UGGGGAAUUUUGGACAACGGGCGAAAAGCCUGAUCCAGCAAUGCCGCGUGUGUGAAGAAGGCCUUCGGGUUGUAAAGCACUUUUGUCCGGAAAGAAAUCCUUGGCUCUAAUACAGUCGGGGGAUGACGGUACCGGAAGAAUAAGCACCGGCUAACUACGUGCCAGCAGCCGCGGUAAUACGUAGGGUGCAAGCGUUAAUCGGAAUUACUGGGCGUAAAGCGUGCGCAGGCGGUUUGCUAAGACCGAUGUGAAAUCCCCGGGCUCAACCUGGGAACUGCAUUGGUGACUGGCAGGCUAGAGUAUGGCAGAGGGGGGUAGAAUUCCACGUGUAGCAGUGAAAUGCGUAGAGAUGUGGAGGAAUACCGAUGGCGAAGGCAGCCCCCUGGGCCAAUACUGACGCUCAUGCACGAAAAGCGUGGGGGAGCAAAACAGGAUUAGAUACCCCUGGGUAGUCCACGCCCUAAAACGAUGUCAACUAGUUGUUGGGGAUUCAUUUCCUUAGUAACGUAGCUAACGCGUGAAGUUGACCGCCUGGGGAGUACGGUCGCAAGAUUAAAACUUAAAUGAAUUGACGGGGUCAUAGCUGUUUCCU
rnacentral:rRNA from 1 species